AUUGAACGCUGGCGGCAGGCCUAACACAUGCAAGUCGAACGAGUGGCGGACGGGUGAGUAAUGUCUGGGAAACUGCCCGAUGGAGGGGGAUAACUACUGGAAACGGUAGCUAAUACCGCAUACCAUCGGAUGUGCCCAGAGGGGAUUAGCGAGUAGGUGGGGUAACGGCUCACCUAGGCGACGAUCCCUAGCCGGUCUGAGAGGAUGACCGGCAACACGGGAACUAGGACACGUUCCAGACUCCUACGGUAGGCAGCAGUGGGUAAUAUUGCACAAUGGGCGCAAGCCUGAUGCAGCCAGGCCGCGUGUAUGAAGAAGGCCUUCGGGUUGUAAAGUACUUUCAGCGAGGAGGCGUUACUCGCAGAAGAAGCACCGGCUAACUCCGGGCCAGCAGCCGCGGUAAUUC
rnacentral:rRNA from 1 species